GAUUUCUGGCCUGAAACAUUUUGCCGGCCACGGUUUCGUGUGUUAGUGCUUGGUGUUCUGGCCAUCCUUCCAAUUGCUAUGCGCUUCUCUUCAUUGAGGGGCGCGUGGUAUUGGAUCUUUUACUUUGAAAAAAUUAGAGUGUUUCAAGCAGGCUUUAUGCUAUGAAUACAUUAGCAUGGAAUAAUAAUUUAGGACUUCGGUUCUAUUUUGUUGGUUUCUAGGACUGAAGUAAUGAUUGAUAGGGAUAGUUGGGGGUGCUAGUAUUCAGCGGCCAGAGGUGAAAUUCUCGGAUUCGCUGAAGACUAACUUAUGCGAAAGCAUU
rnacentral:rRNA from 1 species